GCAGAGGGGGGAAAGCAAAACAGAGUGGAGUCUGCCAUUUGGGGAAAAUGAAAAUAACAAUGAGAGUAUUUUAGGAAUAAAAACGAUUUUAAAGAAACACUUUGCUUGCGUUAAACUCAUGGAGCUUCGGUGCUCUCAAAUCUUGUGUUUUGUAGAGUUGGGAAAACUAUUUUUUUUAUAACAAACAUUUCAUAGAAUUAGCAGCAAGAAGCUACAAGUAAUUGGACACAUGGUUAUAGAGGACAGUGCCUGAAGUAGAGGGCACUGAGUCAAAUGAGCUCCAUAGGAGCAUUGCAUGUGACAAGCCUGAUGUAAAGUUUCAGCUAAAAAAAAGCUUGCCUAGUGGGCUGAAUUAUAGUAGCACAGUUGUCAUAUUGCUGAGUGUAGGUUUUCAUUCUCCAGUCUCAUGGGUGAUUGUGAUCUGUUGAAGAAAGAAACUGCACCAACUAACUGCUAUCUGUUAAAAAUGAGACAUCUAUGUAAUUAAGGUUAGAAGCAAUCCUGGCGCGAGGGCUCCAGCCUUUCGAAUUGGCUAGCCGGGUGCAUCUGGAGCUAUGGAGGCAUCUGUGAAGCAUGUCUAGGAACAGAUAAACAGUAGCUCAAUCUUCCUAUAUCAUAUCUGUUAACAACUUAGACUUUAGAUCAAGUUCUCUUACCACAAGUUCAGGUUUAGAGCAAGCUUUAAAUUAUAAUAGUUAUGUCUAAACUUUAGAGAGAGCUUCAAAUUUGAAAAUUAGGCAGAGCAACUAUUCAUCAUAUCCAUGCUAGAGUUUUAUUAUUAAAAUUCAGUUUAGCAUAGACACUUUAUUUAUUUAUUAAGCAAACUAAGCA
rnacentral:lncRNA from 1 species